UACGUAGGGAGCAAGCGUUGUCCGGAAUCAUUGGGCGUAAAGAGCGUGUAGGCGGCCAGACAAGUCCGUUGUGAAAACUAGAGGCUUAACCUCUAGACGUCGAUGGAAACUGUUUGGCUAGAGUCCGGAAGAGGAGAAUGGAAUUCCUGGUGUAGCGGUGAAAUGCGCAGAUAUCAGGAAGAACACCCGUGGCUAAGGCGGUUCUCUAGUACGGUACUGACGCUGAGACGCGAAAGCGUGGGGAGCGAACAGG
rnacentral:rRNA from 1 species